AGCACGAGGCUGGCAGGGCUGCCAGGGGAGGCAGCGGCCGUGGGUGGGUGGACGCAGUUGGCUGGCUCACUUCCUUCUGCUGCAGGGCUGGAGACUGGACCCUGCCUUCCCAGCCUUCCUUGCGGCGCAAGAUCCCACACAAAUUAGGUUCCACCAAGUAACGCAGCGGGAGCUGCAGAGCGGGGGCAAGCCGCCCUCUGGGCUCGGAGCUGGGUGGCUUCUUGCUGGUGUCCAGGGGUGCUCUUGCCGCCCGAGGGCUUGCCCUGGAGGGGCUUCCUGCAGGCUGCAGUCUUGGGCAGUGGCUGGACUCCAUGCUUCAGGCUCCCUUUUCUGUCUCCAAGGGUGUGGAGAGGCAGUUUCAGUGGUGGUCACCUCUUGAGGUCCACUCCUUGCUUGCUGAUGGCCGCUGAAGCUGUGGUUCGUUUUAGUUGAGAUACAACCUACCAGGUCAAGGGCACAAACCCAGGAGCAGGAUGAGUUUUUAUGUGUAUAGAUACAUCCACGCACCCACCCUGUCCUAAAACACACGUCCACCUCCCCAGGGACGCGUGCCCUGCAGCAGACUAGCCCCAGACGUGACUGUGGAAGGGACACAGCCACCCCGGGGGCCAUUCCAGGAGACUCAGCCUCCAGCCCCUUCUCCAGUCUUCCCAGUGACCUUGUCCCCUCUACUAAGCCCCCCACUGAGAGAGCAGAGGAGGCCCUGGGGGUUGGUGAUGGGGAGGCCCUGGUGGCCUUGGGAAGGCUGCCGGGCAGGGGAUGACGGGCUGAUGUGUGGUGAUAAGCUGCGUGGCCUGGCUGGGCAGGGGACAGGGGGCCCAGACAGCUGCUGUGGGGGUGCUGGAGGGCAGGGAGGCCAGCAGCUGCUUCUGGUGCUGUCCCUUGGCCGGAGGCACAUCCCCUGCUGCCCUCCAGACCCCCACCCCAGCCACCAGCCGACUCCCUGAACUCAGAACGGGCAGCCCUGGUUGCGGGUACCUGUCCUGUCUCAUGCACAGUGCUGCCUGGCUCUAGGGUGCAGAGUUGGGGCAGGGGAUGAGGGACAGGACAUGGUCCUUCCCUGUGUCUCAGCAUCCAGCUCUGUGCUUGGAGCACCCGUCUUCCCAAGCUGGUCCCAGAGCUGUGACUGGUAGGCCUUGUAGCAGGUACCCGGGUUCCUGUGACUUUCUACUGGUGCGGACAGUGGCAGGUGCCGUGUGGCCUGGACAGAGGAGGAGGGAACACUAAGGCCCGCGGUGGAGGGUCCCUGAGGCCAGGCUGGUGCCUGGCUGCCUUCUGCCUGCUCCGUGCUUUCUGUGUGGCCAGGUGUGGGGUGUGGGUGGGAGGAGGUGCCCGGCACACAUCGGGCUCUGUUCCUGGGGAGAGCAGGGUGCGCACCCCUUCCCUGGAGCCAGACAGCCUCCGCUCAGGUCCCAGCUCGGCCACUCACUGACCUUCUGGGCCUCGGUUUUCCCACCUCUGCGGUGGGGACAGCUACUGGUAGGGUUCUUCACCAGUUGAGUUCCCUGGGAACAGACUGGGACUUGUGUGCUGAGACGGAAGAGCAUGAAGGAGGGAGGGAGCAGGAGCCGGCCACAGGAGGUGGCCGCUGUGGGGUGGAGACCCUGAGCCUCCAGGCCGUGGGCCUGCCCCUGAGAGCAGGUGUGGCCCUGGUCAGCCAGCUCCCUACAGCUGAGGCUGGGCUGAGGGCCUCCCUCCUCAGCCUCCUCCUCGGCUAUAACCUGUGAACAUUCACCAAUGCUCUUUCCAGCAGUCACGGCAACCCUGGUACAAAAUGUUAGCGCAGCCAUUCCGGCCAGGCUGUGCAAGGCUGCACUGACUCUCCCAACAGGUGAGGAAGUGAUGGGCCCGCGGCCAUGGGUGAAAGCCAGCCGGCCCAGAUUCCGGAAAGUGCCUUCACGAGGGACAAACGGACCGGUGGUGCACCAGGAGGCGAUGCCAAGGACAGAUCUGGGUGGCUGGGGCUGCCUUGGACCAUCCACAUUUCCCAAAUAAAUAAGUUGUGCACCGUGCAAAUCUCCACCGAAAAUAAACCCGAUUUCCCCAUGGAGCAUAAACGCAGCUUAGCAUUUCUUGGCAGCCAAUGGCUUCCAGGAUUUCACGCAGGUUAAAAAUAAAAAUGCAAAGCAUUAUGAUAAUCCCUCUGUCUCCCGCACUUCCCAGCUGCGCAGUAUCUUUCCCAGCCACGUUCACUGAGGACCUCCAGGCAAAUGCCGCAGGCUGGUGGCUUCAUUCCUAACCACAGGAAGGUAAACUGAGGCACGCCCAGGAGAGCAAAGCGAGACGCCAGGCCUCACCCACGUCUGCUCGGCCCCAAAGGCAGCCUCCUUCAGCUUGGCAGCUGGACUGUAUUGUGACUCCAGGCCUUGGGUUCAAGAAUGGGCCAUCAGUAUGUAAUGUCACGUUACGUUAUUAGGUGACCUUGGGAGGGACAUCGCCCAUCAGAUCAGCAGGGACCAAAGCUGACGGACCCCAUAGGCUGGAAUCACAUGCUCAUCACUUGGGCCUAGUCCUAGGUGACGUCUGCCAGCACCCGUCUUACUUGGCUUUGACACCAGGCAGGAGCCAGGAAAUAGGAAACCCAGGGACUCUCAGGCAUUGUCAUCCGAGGAGGAUUUCAUAACAAGUGGGUUAGCCCGGAGCCCGGCCUCGGUUGAAUACAGGGGUUGGGAGCAAAGUGAAGCGGCCCAAGGGCCCACUGGGGAGAAUGGGUUCCUUUAGCCACUGACCAAGAUCGUGUGACCAGAAGGUCAGGCCAAGGUCCCAGGCUGGUAGGCAGAUGGGCUCAGGCAGGGGGCUGCCCAGGAUUUGGGUCUCCAGAAACGGUGACUCAGAGAAAGGGCUUUCACAGGGGGACCCGCAGGGACUGUGUUCUAGAGCUUGUGGCCAUCACUGCGAGGCUGAUGACCCGGUCUGACCAGCUCGUCAGACCGCGAUGACCCAACAGUCUCUCCGCCACUUGCCAGCGUGUGGCUACGUGCCUGUCACUUGACCUCUCUGAGCCCCAGGUGGAUCAUCCGUCGCGUGGACAGGUCAGCAGUUGUUGACCUGUGAAAGCCAGGUCGCCCCCAGUGCACUCGUGACGUCGCCCUCUGGGAAGGAAUCGCCAUGAAGAUGCCCUGAGCAGACAAACAGAAUCUGCAGACGCUUUCUUGAUGAUAGCUUCUGCCAGGACUAGUGAAGGGGCGUGGAAAGCCCAGUGGGCGCUUGUCGAGGUAAGCAAAGGAUUCAGGAUGAAAGACUCAGGCACAACAAAGGCAAGUUUUCCUACCACGAAGAAGCCCUCGUGUUCGCGCACACGCCCGAAAAACUGCCAUCGGUGGAGGGGAACCGCCACUGGGUGGAGAAGCCCCAGGUGCACAUGCACGGAGCUCCAAGCGGUGGUGAAGCUGCAGCAGGAAACGUGAUUUUUCAUAAGAUCUUCAUUUCAAGAGAUUUUAGACAAUGAAAAUAGCUUCUUAUCCUUUAAAAACAGGAGAUUCAGACCCAGUAAAUGAUUUUGUUAUUUGAUGACUUCAUGGAAUACAUCCAGGAGAUCCAACUCCAGGACAGGGAGCGUGUGCAGACUGCAGGAGUGGACCUGAGGGCAGAGCAGACUCUCGACCUUCUGAGGCUCCUGGGCCUGGGCCUGGGGUGCCGGAAGACGACUCUGAGAAACAAGCCGUCCCGUGCAGAGAGGAGCGUUCCUGAAAGUCUAACGGAAAACGCUCAUGUGGACCUCUUUUUGAGUUCCUGAGCUACAAGACAGACGGUCCCCUAGGAAAGGGCUGGCAGGUGUGCCUUCUCCCCCUGCUGCCCCCAACCUGGGUUUCCCCAUAGGUAAAAGGGGAGCAGAAACCCCCGACCUGGGCCUGCUUGGGAGGAUGCAAUGGUUAGAAAGUAGAAGACGCUCCUGAGGUCCUAGCAUCACCCCUCCACCCCAGUCACUUUCUUUAUCUCCAAAGCAACCGCCACAUUGAGGCUUCUGUGGGGGGCUGGACCCCCCACCUGCAGAGCCCCCUCACCUUUCACCUGCUGGAGGCCUUGGACUCUCAAGCAUCACCUCCUCUAGGAAGGCCCAAGUGGCCACUCCCACAGGUGGAUCCAGCCACCCCCAAUAGGGGGCCCCAACCCCAGGAGGACUCACCUCCCCAUAAAGUGAUGUCACCCCACAGGUAGACCGUCACCCCGUAGGUAGAUCAGGCCAACCACCCACCGGUGGGUCUGACCUUCCUAGUUGGCUCCCACUGGCCUGUCUUCUACCGUCUGGUAUCUCCGUCUGGACCCGUGUCCUCGGCACAGGACAGGCACGCAGCAGGGUCCACGCGGCAUUUCCAAGAUGGAAAAGAGAGGGACAGUCAGGAGCAUGUGACACACUCCCGCAUCACAUGGCUCCGUGAGAAGCAGGGGCCUUGUCCUGGCCCAGGCUUGGCAAUGAGCUUCCUGGGGAACUGCUUCCUCCCCACCCCCCAGGCCCCCCACCCCCAGGCCCCGACCAGGAGGAGUCUAGCCUUGAACCCGCUUUCGGGGCUGCCCGAGCGUAGAGCAGCAUAAUUAUAUCUUAAUAAUUGUUUUGCAGCAUAGGAUUGAUAAUUACUAAAUGUGCGAUAACUGCUCCUUAAAUGCCCGUGCUCUUUAAAAAACCCAAUUUAUAAUUUAAAAAGCUGACACUUCUCAGAGGGCUUUAUUUUAUCUUGUCGGGAGUAAUGGAAGAAUAAGUUAUUGAAAACCUUUAUUUUUCAUUAGCCUUAAAUUCAACGACAAUUAAUGUGCCCAAUUUGAUUAUAAACUGCACAAAUUAAACAAUAAA